UUCGAGCAUGUCUCCCUUCUCGGAAGCUCCCUCGACCCCACGAACCUUGACCUCAAUCGGGGAGACUACCCGCUGAACUUGGAAAAA
rnacentral:rRNA from 1 species